rnacentral:lncRNA from 1 species
AGCGGCUCUUGGGAGGCUGCGUCCGCGCGCCGGCGAGGCGAGGCGGCCGGGCCCUGCGCGUCAGGCCUGAGACCUGGGAGGAAGCUGGAGAAAAGAUGCCCUCUGAAUCUUUCUGUUUGGCUGCCCAGGCUCGCCUCGACUCCAAAUGGUUGAAAACAGAUAUACAGAGUCAUUUUUUACAGGUCAGAACUGUAGAAAUAAUGAGAAAGUGACACUUGUACGCAUAGCUGAUUUGGAGAACCAUAAUAACGAUGGAGGCUUCUGGACUGUGAUUGACGGGAAAGUGUAUGAUAUAAAGGACUUCCAGACACAGUCGUUAACAGAAAAUAGUAUUCUUGCUCAGUUUGCAGGGGAAGACCCAGUGGUAGCUUUGGAAGCUGCUUUGCAGUUUGAAGACACCCGGGAAUCCAUGCACGCAUUUUGUGUUGGCCAGUAUUUGGAGCCUGACCAAGAAAUCGUCACCAUACCAGAUCUGGGGAGUCUCUCUUCACCUCUGAUAGACACAGAGAGGAAUCUGGGCCUGCUUCUCGGAUUACACGCUUCCUAUUUGGCAAUGAGCACACCGCUGUCUCCUGUCGAGAUUGAAUGUGCCAGUAAGAAAAUCUUUGCUUUUUGCUGAUCAGCAGAUUAUUUUUUUUUGAACUGUAAGUGCCAUUAAGAGUGGGAGAGGGCCAGGCACAGUGGUUCAUGCCUGUAAUCCCAGCAGUUUGGGAGGUUGUGGCACGUGGAUUGCUUGAGGUCAAGAGUUUGAGACCAGCCUGGGCAACAUGGCAAAACCCCAUCUCUACAAAAAACACAAAAAUUAGCCAGGCAUGUUGGCACGUAUUUGUAGUCCCAGAUACUCAGGAGGCUGAGGUAGGAGGAUUGCUUGAGCCUGGGAGGUUGAGGCUGCAGUGAGUCAUGAUCAUACCACUGCACUCCAGCCUGGGUGACAGAGCAAGACUCUCUCUUUAAAAAAGCAGGAGAUGGCCAGGCAGUGGCUCAUGCCUGUAAUCCCAGCACUUUGGGAGGCUGAGGCGGGUGGAUCACCUGAGGUCAGGAGUUCAAGACCAGCCUGGCCAAUGUGGUGAAACCCCAUGUCUACUAAAAAUGCAAAAAUUAGCUGGGUGUGGUGACGGGUGCCUGUAAUCCCAGUUACUCGGGAGGCUGAGGUAGGAGAAUUGCUUGAACCCAGGAGACGGAGGUUGCAGUGAGCUGAGAUCAUGCCACUGCACUCCAGCCUGGGUGACAAGAGCGAGACUCGGUCUCAAAAAAAAAAAAGGAGAGGAGGAUUCAACACAGUUGAUGAUGAUAAAAA